rnacentral:rRNA from 1 species
AACGAACGCUGGCGGCGCGCCUAAUACAUGCAAGUCGAGCGAGAAGACGUAGCAAUACGUUUGUAAAGCGGCGAACGGGUGAGGAAUACAUGGGUAACCUACCCUCGAGUGGGGAAUAACUAGCCGAAAGGUUAGCUAAUACCGCGUACGCUCCUUGGACUUCGGUUCAGGGAGGAAAGCGAUACCGUGGGUAUCGCGCUCUUGGAUGGGCUCAUGUCCUAUCAGCUUGUUGGUGAGGUAACGGCUCACCAAGGCUUCGACGGGUAGCUGGUCUGAGAGGACGAUCAGCCACACUGGCACUGCGACACGGGCCAGACUCCUACGGGAGGCAGCAGUAAGGAAUAUUGCGCAAUGGGCAAAGCCUGACGCAGCGACGCCGCGUGGGGGAUGAAGGUCUUCGGAUUGUAA